rnacentral:rRNA from 1 species
UCCGUAGGNUGAACCUGCGGAAGGAUCAUUAACGAAUCCAAAUCUUACCUGCCUUAGCGGUAACCAGAUGCUGUUUUUCGGGGUCGGCUUCGGUCGUUAAAUCGUCAGUGGGUACGGUGAACUUCGGUUUGCCAGGCGGGCCCCGAAUUAGUUUUUACCCACGCGUUCAAUCAAUGCCUUAACGUAUCGAUUCCUCGGUCGGACUAGCUCCGAACGAGAGUUGCCUAAAAGCGAACAACUUUAAACGGUGGAUCUCUUGGCUCGUGCAUCGAUGAAGAACGCAGCAAACUGCGAUAAGUAAUGUGAAUUGCAGAAUUUAGUGAAUCAUCGAAUCUUUGAACGCAAAUGGCGCUCUUGGGCAUUCCCAGGAGCACGCCUGUCUGAGCGUCGUUUCUCACAUCCCAACUCCAAGGAGCUGGGGCCAUGAGGUGCCCCUUUGCUGCGAAGCGAACGGUCCCUUGAAGUAUAGCGAUCCCGAGUCGUGCGGAAGCCUUUCUUGGCCCGUGCCUCUCGGUGUGGUAGAAAUAUCUCACCGAGGAUACGUGCUUGGAGAGAGUCGGAUGUCUUCUCACAGGGACGACUGGAAAGGAGGACAGCACUCGUUGCUGUUCGACCAAUCAAGACCUCAGAUCAGACGAGACUACCCGCUGAACUUAAGCAUAUCAAUA